AGCGAACGCUGGCGGCAGGCCUAACACAUGCAAGUCGAACGAACCUUUCGGGGUUAGUGGCGGACGGGUGAGUAACACGUCGGAACGUGCCUUUAGGUUCGGAAUAACUCAGGGAAACUUGUGCUAAUACCGAAUGUGCCCUUCGGGGGAAAGAUUUAUCGCCUUUAGAGCGGCCCGCGUCUGAUUAGCUAGUUGGUUGAGGUAAUGGCUCACCAAGGCGACGAUCAGUAGCUGGUCUGAGAGGAUGAUCAGCCACAUUGGGACUGAGACACGGCCCAAACUCCUACGGGAGGCAGCAGUGGGGAAUCUUGCGCAAUGGGCGAAAGCCUGACGCAGCCAUGCCGCGUGAAUGAUGAAGGUCUUAGGAUUGUAAAAUUCUUUCACCGGGGACGAUAAUGACGGUACCCGGAGAAGAAGCCCCGGCUAACUUCGUG
rnacentral:rRNA from 1 species